UACGUAGGCAGCGAGCGUUGUUCGGAUUUACUGGGCGUAAAGGGUGCGUAGGCGGUUUUCCAAGUUUGGUGUGAAAUCUCCCGGCUUAACUGGGAGGGUGCGCCGAAAACUAGGAGACUUGAGUACCGGAGAGGUAAGCGGAAUUCCUGGUGUAGCGGUGAAAUGCGUAGAGAUCAGGAGGAACACCUGUGGUGUAGACAGCUUACUGGACGGUCACUGACGCUGAGGCACGAAAGCGUGGGUAGCAAACAGG
rnacentral:rRNA from 1 species